rnacentral:rRNA from 1 species
GCUUACGGCCAUACCACCCUGAGCACGCCCGAUCUCGUCCGAUCUCGGAAGCUAAGCAGGGUCGGGCCUGGUUAGUACUUGGAUGGGGAGACCGCCUGGAUGGAGACCGCCUGGGAAUACCAGGUGCUGUAAGCU